AACAGUACGGAGACAGGGACAGUAGCUUUUUUAGUUUGUCAAAGCGAAUCGAGGAUGGUGUGAGCUCGAUAACAAACAAAAAAGUGAAAAUCACCCUAGAGUACCAUUGCUGAACUGAUGAUAGUAAGCAGUGGCGGUUUAUUCACGUUACGAAUGCAAAGAGGAUUUGCGUGCAGCAAAUCUACUAGGGUGGUACCGCGGGAGGCCUUCUCGUCCCUUUU
rnacentral:ncRNA from 2 species